CCUACGGGUGGCAGCAGUGAGGAAUAUUGGUCAAUGGUCGGGAGGCUGAACCAGCCAAGUCGCGUGAGGGAAGACGGCCCUACGGGUUGUAAACCUCUUUUUUCGGGGAGCAAAGCGAGUCACGUGUGACUCAUUGACAGUACCCGAAGAAAAAGCAUCGGCUAACUCCGUGCCAGCAGCCGCGGUAAUACGGAGGAUGCGAGCGUUAUCCGGAUUUGUUGGGUUAAAGGGGUGCGCAGGCGGAGCUGGAAGUCAGCGGUCAUAUUGCGGGGCUCAACCCCGUACUGCCGUUGAAACUGCAUCCCUUGAGUGCGCGAGAGGUAUGCGGAAUGCGUGGUGUAGCGGUGAAAUGCAUAGAUAUAACGCAGAACUCCGAUUGCGAAGGCAGCAUACCGGCGCGCAACUGACGCUCAUGCACGAAAGCGUGGGUAUCGAACAGGAUUAGAUACCCUGGUAGUC
rnacentral:rRNA from 1 species